AUCAAAAUAUCACACAACAGAGAAUCUAUCUUCUACUUCUUUUGAAGUAGGCAGUGGGAAAAUGACUGAUGGAAUUUGGCAUGCAAUGUUUUAAAUAUUGAAAUGUAAAUGUCUUAAAGAGAUAAACAACUUGAGAAGAAAGUGUUAAUUCUGAAAAAAAAAAAAAAAAAAGAGGCUGUGUGGUCAAAAAGGAAACAUAAGUUCCACACCAUGAGCAUUUUCUACUAACAGAGUUUUCACAGCGUGAUCUGUGCGGCAGAGCCUGUCACGAUAGGCACACAUGGCAGCCGAAGCCCGUUCCCUGAAAAGCCCUGCUGCCUAAAAGAAGCACAGACUGGCUAAGCUACCAGUAGUAAGGACACCCUCCCACAUUGCAGACCCUGCUGUGUGCUCCGGGUUCCCAGCUUUGUGAGCUGUCACUCAUGCUGGGGUGGGAUUCCGUGAUGCGGCUGUCUUCGAGUCAUUUCUGCUCCUGCUGCCUGUGACCAGCACGGCAUGGAGCCUUCCAAGCAGGGGAAGAAAGAGAGAAAGAAUGUGAGGAACUCCGGAGCUGAAGAAUGCUGUGAUGAUGCACUCCAUGUCUGCAGGGCAAGUAAGAACACAGUUCCAGACAGAGAAAGCAUCCAUUCCCUGGGAAUGACAAUACAGGAGCGGCGCAGGCGCAAGAGCAACUUCUGUGAAUGACGAACAGGUCUCUGGACACUCUGGAACUCUGGACUUCCUGGUGCCCUGUGUGAUCGCCCUGAGAAGCCUGCAGAGGAAACCCGGUGGGCCAGUACUCACAGACUUGGCAUGACUAGUAGAGUCCAAACUAGCAAGACCCGCUCAGCCAUGCUCUCCAGGGAACUCUGUCAUUGAUAACAUCUUUAUUUUCUCUGCUGGUUUUCUAACUUGGGUUGUCAGUGUGAAAGUUUCCAGAAAGCAGAUACAUCUUCAACCUGAAACCUGAAAGUCUGAUUGACGGAUUGGAACUUCAAUGGCUGUGGGAUGCAGAAAUGUUGCAGGUUCAGAGCCUAAUUACAAUUUAUCUUGGGCUGUCUUUAGCCUUCUAAAUAGACAUUCCUUGCCCUCUGUGCUGACUGUGACUCACAGAUAAAAACUUUGUUUAAUGUAUUAACUUAACCCAAGGUCUAGGAGUCUUCAGGUAGCAUUUGAGGCCUGCAGCUGAGAUUCCUCUGCUUGCUUGUA